GAUGAACGCUGGCGGCGUGCCUAAUACAUGCAAGUCGAGCGAACGGACGAGAAGCUUGCUUCUCUGAUGUUAGCGGCGGACGGGUGAGUAACACGUGGAUAACCUACCUAUAGGACUGGGAUAACUUCGGGAAACCGGAGCUAAUACCGGAUAAUAUUUUGAACCGCAUGGUUCAAAAGUGAAAGACGGUCUUGCUGUCACUUAUAGAUGUAUCCGCGCUGCAUUAGCUAGUUGGUAAGGUAACGGCUUACCAAGGCAACGAUGCAUAGCCGACCUGAGAGGGUGAUCGGCCACACUGGAACUGAGACACGGUCCAGACUCCUACGGGAGGCAGCAGUAGGGAAUCUUACGCAAUGGGCGAAAGCCUGACGGAGCAACGCCGCGUGAGUGAUGAAGGUCUUCGGAUCGUAAAACUCUGUUAUUAGGGAAGAACAUAUGUGUAAGUAACUGUGCACAUCUUGACGGUACCUAAUCAGAAAGCCACGGCUAACUACGUG
rnacentral:rRNA from 1 species